rnacentral:lncRNA from 1 species
CUGAGAACCCGGGGCUCUUGACGCACCUACGACUUCCCUCCCUAGGGUGAGGCCCAGGCCUCUCAGAUAACUCUGGGAGGAUGGCAGAAAGUGUCUGAACCAGCCUUGAAUCCAGGUCUCACUGAUUCCCUGUUCUCAAGCCCAAGUGCCUCCAACUUGGGACCCAGAAAUGGACAAAGCAGGCCUGGGCCCUGUCCUCCUGGGGCUCCCAGUCUGGUUGGGGAGGUGGACUUUGUUGUCAAACAGACCGUCUCAAAACAGAGGUUAGCAGUGAUGGGAAAGCCCAGGAGGCUGUGGGAGCCCAGGAGGGCCCCCCGGCCAGAUCUCAGAAGUGGGGAGUGGUCAAGGAAGCCUUCCUGGAGGAAGAGUCAUUGAAGGAACAUCUGAGACCCCCGCCCAUCCUGUGGAAAAGAGGAUUGAGGCUGUGAAUGUUGCCACGUGGAGGUUGUUAAGUGGAUGACACUA